AAAUUGAAGAGUUUGAUCAUGGCUCAGAUUGAACGCUGGCGGCAGGCCUAACACAUGCAAGUCGAACGGUAACAGGAAACAGCUUGCUGUUUCGCUGACGAGUGGCGGACGGGUGAGUAAUGUCUGGGAAACUGCCUGAUGGAGGGGGAUAACUACUGGAAACGGUAGCUAAUACCGCAUAACGUCGCAAGACUAAAGAGGGGGACCUUCGGGCCUCUUGCCAUCGGAUGUGCCCAGAUGGGAUUAGCUUGUUGGUGGGGUAACGGCUCA
rnacentral:rRNA from 1 species